CUCCGCUGUCUAGAUACAAGUGGACAGAUGUGUCUCGUCAUCCUCGCUCGACAAAGCAAGCCCUUCAAGAGAUACGUGGCCUACAUUUGGACACCGCCGCACGUUAUCUGCACUGAUUUAAUCUGUUGUUUCUUUGGGGUCGUUGGCAUGAAUGCCUCGCCGGUCUUGUGGCAGUGAGGCUGUACACAAGUAUGCGUUACCAAAGAGCAAUGUCCGAAGGAGGUUGGACAGCGCAACCUGACUUCGACUGAGCACGACGAGUCAUACGUCUCCAACCGCACACGAAAACAUGCAAGAGUAUUUCUUCUUCGCCAGCCAAGAUGGUUCGCGAUUCGAUUGCGCGCUGGAAACAACAUAGAGUGUACCGUCCGAUCUUGGUUCUGCAGAAGUGGUAGUGGGGGAUGAGUUAGUGGAAUUACAACCUGGUUGUCCAUCCCUCCUAGGCUUGCCCGAGGGUUGUGUUUUACGGAGGCCUGUGAGUGUUUUGUGAGGCGUCAACGAGUAUGGUGGCCCGCCGAUGUGUCAUUUCAUGAUUCUCAUGGAGUGGUGAAGUUUCUACAGGGUGUCUUCUUCAACUGAGAACACAUUCAUUUAUCACCUUUGGUUGCGGGUUACUGCUCCUGUAGUCCGAUUCAUGAAGGCUGUGUAGUUCAGGAUUUUUAUUGUAGAAGGCUCCUUCACCGUCCGUUCUAUUUGCUUGCUUCCGAGAAUGUUUUUUGAUACCAUGCACUUUGCAAUGUGGCUGGGUAGGACCCUCAUCUCAGUUUCCAUACAAAAAUGGAUGUGAAUAUACCCUAACAACACGGGUUGGGAUUGAGGAGUCCCAUCUUUAACACGGUUAUCGCUAAUCUCAAUGCUGCAAUCGGUAUGGCCCCAUCUUCAUUUGCAUUUCUUUUUCGAACGUCUGGGUCCUGAAGAGAGCUACGUGGCAUGGCCGA
rnacentral:lncRNA from 1 species